GGAAGGAAGGAAGAUGUAGUCAUGGAAUGAAGGCAUCAAGGUGAGAAGGAAAGGAAGGAAGGGAGAUGUAGUCAUGGAAUGAAGGCAUCAAGGUGAGAAGGAAAGGAAGGAAGGAAGAUGUAGUCAUGGAAUGAAGGCAUCAAGGUAAGAAGGGAAGGAAGCAAGGUGAGAAGGGGAGGAAUGAAGGAGCGGGGUAUAUCAAUUCUGUAUUCCAUCCCUAUGGUCCUACAGAGCCGGACGCCCCCUCACACCCCUCACAAAGUGUCCCAACAUCUGCUCCGGCUAACAGUAUCUCCUCCC